ACACUAAAUUCAUUUCCUUCAUUGAGCGCGAAUAUUAUUUUGUUUAUUUUAUGUACAAUAAUAAUUAUUUACAAAAUAAUAACAAUUUUAUUUAUUUGUCUGUGUAGAAGUAUUUAUUUUAAAUUAAAUAAAUAAGCAAACAAUUCAAUACAUGUACCCAUGUUUGCCUCAAUUAGAGAAAAAUGUGUUCAACAAGGGAUUUAAAUUUUUGGAAGGAGUUCUUUGCUCUUUAUAAACACUAUCCAGAGUUAUGGAAAGUUAAAAGUGAGGCUUAUAAAAAUAGAAUGUUAAAACGUCGAGCAUAUGCCCAUUUAUUGGACAAAUACAGAGAAUAUGAACCUGAAGCUACCGAAGAUAUGCUUAAAAAGAAAAUAAAUAGCUUUCGCGGAUGCUACCGCCGUGAAUUGAGAAAAGUAAUUAAAAGUUAUGAAUCCGGAUGCGAUAUUGAAGAUGUUUACAAACCCAAUUUGUGGUAUUAUAAUGAUCUAAAUUUUUUAAAAGAUCAAGAAGAAAACGAAAGUGAAGAGGGUAUUACAUCCUUGGAAAUUGAAACAAGUUUUAUGGAGUCAGAUACUCAUUACAAUUCUGAAGACCAAGAAGACCCUGUAGGUGUAUGUGAUAAUUUUAAAAAAGAACAAACAAAUAAAACUAGUUGUUUAACCACACAAAAACAUUCAAACUCAAUAUCAAAAGGAAUAGCUACUGAAAAAGCAUUGAACGAUUUAAAGAUGAUAUGCAAAGCCCUAAGUCAACCACCAGAAGAACAAGAAUUUGAUUGUUUUGGAGCGUCUGUGGCUUGUCAAUUGAGAAAACUCCCCGAAAAAAUGGCCCAGGAAUCAAUGGAUUAUAUACAAUCGUUUUUAGUACGUCAGCGUCUAAAUAGUAUCGAAAAUCCAUGUCUCGAAUAUUCAAGAAAUACAAAAAGAAUGCGAUCUGAGGCGUCAGAUAAUUUUAAUCAUGUAGAUAAACAGGAUAAGAACUUUAAUGCCGAAAUUUGUCAAAUUGCUAAGCGGAUAAAGGAGAAGGAGUUGGAAUUUUUGGAAAUCGAACAUACUAAAAAACUACACAUUUUGAACCUGGAAAAAAGAAAAUUGGAGAAUAGACUAAAAAAUGACGAAGAAGAACAUGUACUUAAAAUUCAACAACUUUCAAGUUUUGAAAAACAAUCGACUUCAUUAAUAUAAGAGUUAUAUUUAUUUGGAGUGCAAAGAUACGAAGUAAUACUGAUGUAAGGUGAUAUCGGGAACGCUUGUCUACCAAACACAUAGAGGUUGCAGAAAAUUGCUAAAUUCGAAAUUGUAAAACUUCCGCCGUACUGCCAAAAUUGGAUUCAUAAAUGUAACAUUUGUGUUCAUAGAAGUAAAACGACAUUUAAUUUGCGAUCAAGUCGGCAUUUAAUUUCAUCAUGUUGCUGAAUUUAUACGAAAAUUGACAAUGGAGCAAAUAUGAGUAUUUUUU